rnacentral:rRNA from 1 species
AUUGAACGCUGGCGGCAUGCUUUACACAUGCAAGUCGAACGGCAGCACGAAAGAGCUUGCUCUUUUGGUGGCGAGUGGCGAACGGGUGAGUAAUGCAUCGGAACGUACCGAGUAAUGGGGGAUAACUAUCCGAAGGAUAGCUAAUACCGCAUACGCUUUGAGAAGGAAAGUGGGGGCCCUUCGGACCUCACGUUAUUCGAGCGGCCGAUGUCUGAUUAGCUAGUUGGUGGGGUAAAGGCCUACCAAGGCGACGAUCAGUAGCGGGUCUGAGAGGAUGAUCCGCCACACUGGGACUGAGACACGGCCCAGACUCCUACGGGAGGCAGCAGUGGGGAAUUUUGGACAAUGGGCGCAAGCCUGAUCCAGCCAUGCCGCGUGUCUGAAGAAGGCCUUCGGGUUGUAAAGGACUUUUGUUAGGGAAGAAAAGGAUAGUGUUAAUACCAUUAUCUGCUGACG